rnacentral:rRNA from 1 species
GNANGNNNCUGCGGUCGACGAUUCCUACGGGAGGCAGCAGGAGGGAAUAUUGCGCAAUGGGCGAAAGCCUGACGCAGCAACGCCGCGUGAGGGAUGACGGCCUUCGGGUUGUAAACCUCUUUCAGUGGGGACGAAAUUGACGGUACCCACAGAAGAAGCACCGGCCAACUACGUGCCAGCAGCCGCGGUAAUACGUAGGGUGCAAGCAUUGUCCGGAUUUAUUGGGCGUAAAGAGCUCGUAGGCGGCUUAACAAGUCGGUCGUGAAAUACCGAGGCUCAACCUCGGGGAGUCGGUCGAAACUGUUAUGGCUAGAGUACGGUAGAGGAGAGUGGAAUUCCCGGUGUAGCGGUGGAAUGCGCAGAUAUCGGGAGGAACACCAGUAGCGAAGGCGGCUCUCUGGGCCGUUACUGACGCUGAGGAGCGAAAGCGUGGGGAGCAAACAGGAUUAGAUACCCUGGUAGUCCACGCUGUAAACGUUGGGAACUAGGUGUUGCGGUCUGAUCAAUGACUGCGGUGCCGAAGCUAACGCAUUAAGUUCCCCGCCUGGGGAGUACGGCCGCAAGGCUAAAACUCAAAGGAAUUGACGG